rnacentral:rRNA from 1 species
AGCAUAUCAAUAAGCGGAGGAAAAGAAACCAACAGGGAUUGCCCUAGUAACGGCGAGUGAAGCGGCAACAGCUCAAAUUUGAAAUCUGGCUCUUUUAGGGUCCGAGUUGUAAUUUGCAGAGGGCGCUUUGGCGUUGGCAGCGGUCCAAGUUCUUUGGAACAGGACGUCACAGAGGGUGAGAAUCCCGUACGUGGUCGCUAUCCUUCGCCGUGUAAAGCCCCUUCGACGAGUCGAGUUGUUUGGGAAUGCAGCUCUAAAUGGGAGGUAAAUUUCUUCUAAAGCUAAAUACUGGCCAGAGACCGAUAGCGCACAAGUAGAGUGAUCGAAAGAUGAAAAGCACUUUGGAAAGAGAGUCAAAUAGCACGUGAAAUUGUUGAAAGGGAAGCGCUUGCAGCCAGACUUGCCUGUAGUUGCUUAUCCGGACUUUUGUCCGGUGCACUCUUCUGCGGGCAGGCCAGCAUCAGUUUGGGCAGUUGGAUAAAGGUCUCUGUCAUGUACCUCUCUUCGGGGAGGCCUUAUAGGGGAGACGACAUGCAACUAGCCUGGACUGAGGUCCGCGCAUCUGCUAGGAUGCUGGCGUAAUGGCUGUAAGCGGCCCGUCUUGAAACACGGACCAAGGAGUCUAACAUCUAUGCGAGUGUUUGGGUGUCAAGCCCAGACGCGUAAUGAAAGUGAACGGAGGUGGGAACCCUUUGGGUGCACCAUCGACCGAUCCUGAUGUUUUCGGAAGGAUUUGAGUAAGAGCAUGGCUGUUGGGACCCGAAAGAUGGUGAACUAUGCUUGAAUAGGGUGAAGCCAGAGGAAACUCUGGUGGAGGCUCGCAGCGGUUCUGACGUGCAAAUCGAUCGUCAAAUUUGGGCAUAGGGGCGAAAGACUAAUGAACUAUCU